rnacentral:rRNA from 1 species
AGUGAACGCUGGCGGCAGGCCUAACACAUGCAAGUCGAACGAGUGGCGGACGGGUGAGUAAUGUCUGGUAAACUGCCCGAUGGAGGGGGAUAACUACUGGAAACGGUAGCUACUACCGCAUCCCAUCGGAUGUGCCCAGAUGUGAUUAGCUAGUAGGUGGGGUAAUGGCUCACCUAGGCGACGAUCCCUAGCUGGUCUGAGAGGAUGACGCACAACAAGGGAAAGGAGAGACGGUCCAGAACCGGAAGGGAUGCACCGUGGGGGAAUCGUGCACAAGGGGCGGUAGGCUGAUGUAGCCAAUCGGCGUGUAUGAAGAGGGGCUUCGGGGUGUAAAGGACUUUAAGCGAGGAGGCGUUACUCGCAGAAGAAGCACCGGCUAACUCCGUGCCAGCAGCCGCGGUAAUUC